rnacentral:sRNA from 1 species
AAAAACCCUCAGCUCUUUCAUCUCUACCCAUCUAACCCCUAAUUGCAACUGUGAUCCACCCUUCUGAAGUAACAGUAUGACUAAAUAUACUGAGAAGCUCGAAGAGAUUAAGAAAAAUUAUAGAUACAAAAAAGAUGAGCUUUUCAAGAGACUAAAAGUUACAACUUUUGCCCAGCUGGUAAGUUUCUUGAUCUUUCCACUGCAGUAAAGACUGUCUAAUUUGUGCCACUUUAUGUAUUUCUAAAUUCAACUCUAGGGAAAGUUUGCAGAGGAGUUUCUUCUGAUUCUUUGUAUGUCGUUCAGCUAUGGGAAGAUUAAUUGGUAUGUGGUGUGUGUGU